GUAAUAGUGAUACUAGAGAGUAGUGAUAAUAUAGAUACUAGAGAGUAGUGAUAAUAGUGAUACUACAGAGUAGUGAUACUAGAGAGUAGUGAUAAUAUAGAUACUAGAGAGCAGUGAUACUAGAGAGCAGUGAUACUAGUCUGCUAAAUGACUAACAUGUAAGUCUCUCUGGAUAAGAGUGUCUGCUAAAUGACUAACAUGUAAAUUGAAAAUGUAAAUCAGGCCAAUGUACGAGAUUAGCAGAGACAAGUUCAAGAUUUACAGAAUUACUGUAACUCACAACUUUAUUUCCCCUUUCGUUUCAGGUUAUUAUGAAAAGGUAUUUUAGCCUUUGUUUCCCAGUUCAUUAAAACCAGUUACGCCUGUCAUAAAGAGAACAUGUCCAGGGUGAGUUACAAAGGAAACAACGUUGGCAUCUGCUCUGACAUUCCUCCUGAAUGGAUGGUUGGUCUGAGAAGGUAUAAAGGUCUGGAGGUUGGAUGCUGGAGGCAGAUAGGUAGAGAGGAAUCCUCCAGAGAGAUCCAGGCAUCAUGUCCUCCUCCACACCGGUGUUGCUGCAUCUGCUGCUACUGGUCUCCCUGGCUUCAGCGGGACACUUCUAUGGAGGCUCCAUGUCUGUCACCCCCAAAGGGAGGAACGCUGACGGAACAUUCAAGGUGGAUUUACGCUACAAGAAUACCCAUGACUGGUGUGAUUACGAUGGCUGGUAUUGUUCUUCAGGGAACUGCGGCUCUUCUGUCAAAGAUGUCAGAGGCACAAUUGACAGCAGCAGCAGAGGACGGAGUGGUUACAACAACCAGUGGUGUGAAACUGAAACAGUCGAGACCAGAAAUAUCCCCAGUGAUAAACCUUUUCAAUUGAUACAAAACAGCUGCUGUUGGAUCCCAACAGUAAACCGACUUGGAUCUUGGAGCCUGGAAACACAAGUGGAUCUGGGAACAAGAUCUGAUACUGGUGAACCCAACAGAUCUCCAGUCACAGCCAUUCUUCCUUUCAUACGUGUUCCCCAGAACUGUCAGAGGUCCUACAACCUCAUGGCCUUUGACCCUGACGGUGAUCGUGUCAGAUGCAGAUACGGAUUGGUCAGACCUGAGUGCGAUAGCUGUGAUCAGCCUUCAGGUUUCUACCUGGAUCAGGGCUCUUGCUCCUUACAAUACGGCUACACUUCAACGAGUGGCGUCUACGGGUUUNNNNNNNNNNAUGGCUGGUAUUGUUCUUCAGGGAACUGCGGCUCUUCUGUCAAAGAUGUCAGAGGCACAAUUGACAGCAGCAGCAGAGGACGGAGUGGUUACAACAACCAGUGGUGUGAAACUGAAACAGUCGAGACCAGAAAUAUCCCCAGUGAUAAACCUUUUCAAUUGAUGCAAGUUUGUUAUGAAAUACAUGUAAUCAAUUUAUUGAACAUGCAUUGUGCACAAUGACUCAUGGUUUUAGCUAUACCGUUAAAACCUAC
rnacentral:lncRNA from 13 species